rnacentral:snRNA from 14 species
AUAUUAUGCAGGGGAAAUACUAUGAUCACCAGCUCUCUUGUGGGCUAAAAAUGUGGCUUUCCCAGGUGCUUGACCCUGGCACUUCUGACCUGCUGAUCCCUGUGAGUUUCCUCAAAUGCAGGAGACUUGACUACAUAAUUUUGUGGUAAUGGAGGACUGCCUUCUUGCUUUCCUUCU